UGAACGUGUGGCCCCAAUUGUAAUAUAAGUCGAGCGUUGUAGUUGGACUGGGACGAUUAUCGUAUAUUACCGACGCGUACUAGACACAAGAAAAUUUUCGCGCAAAUCGAAAGAAAAGAGUGGGAGAUACAAGUGGCGCGAAUGAGAGAAUACACGAAUGAAUGUAUUGAGAGAUUUUAGAUAUAGGUAAAUAAAAACAGAGAUAUAGAUAUCAGUGAGAAAGAGAGAGGGGGG